ACUUCGGAGAACCUCAUUAAAUUGAGUGCCGAAGGGGCAAGGCGCGUUUUUCGCGCUGAAACUCUCAGGCAAAAGGACGAAG
rnacentral:ncRNA from 1 species